rnacentral:rRNA from 1 species
GACGGGGGAGGCAAGCGUUGUCCGGAAUCACUGGGCGUAAAGCGUCUGUAGGUGGUGAUGCAAGUCACUGGUGCAAAACUCUGGCUCAACCGGGGGAAUGCCAGUGAAACUGCAUGUCUAGAGUGUGGGAGAGGUAGAAGGAAUUCCCUGAGUAGCGGUGAAAUGCGUAGAUACAGGGAAGAACACCGGAGGCGAAAGCGGUCUACUGGACCACAACUGACACUGAGGGACGAAAGCUAGGGGAGCGAAUGGG